GUGGGGCUGUGCCAUUUGCAGUGCAGCACAGACAUCCCCACGCUGCGUCCCCGUUCCUGGCGCGGCUCCCAGCGCAGGCUUUAGCUGAGGCUCGGGUUUAGCCUUCCCUCCUCUCUGUCCCCGCAGUGAGAGCUUCCCGGGCUCUGCUCGCCAGCGUUCCCGAGCCAUCAUGGAGGAGACUACCCUGCAAAUCAUCGAACCACCAACUGUUUCCGAGGCCUCGGAGGAGCCGGUGCCCGAAGAACCCAUCAAACCAGACCAGAUCAACGGCGUGAUGGUGCUGACCCUUCUGGACAAGAUCAUCGGAGCGGUGGAUCAGAUCCAGCUGACCCAAACGCAGCUGGAGGAGAGGCAGCAAGACAUGGAUAGCGCCGUGACCAGCAUCCAGGGAGAGCUAACCAAGCUGGCAAAGGCUCACACCACCACCAGCAACACCGUGAACAAGAUGCUGGAAAAGGUGCGCAAGGUGAGCGUGAACGUGAAGACGGUUCGGCAGAACCUGGAGAAACAAGCGGGGCAGAUAAAGAAGCUGGAGGCCAACGAAGCAGAGCUCCUGAAACGCAGGAACUUCAAAGUCAUGAUCUACCAGGUAAGGAGCUGUUUCACACGUGCUUUGCGCCCUGCUG